GCCUGGGUGGCUCAGUCGGUUAAGCAUCCGACUUCAGCUCAGGUCACGAUCUGCGGUCCGUGGGUUCGAGCCCCGCGUCGGGCU
rnacentral:tRNA from 1 species